rnacentral:rRNA from 1 species
UCGGGAAUUUUGGGCAAUGGGCGAAAGCCUGACCCAGCAACGCCGCGUGAGGGAUGAAGUAUUUCGGUAUGUAAACCUCGAAAGAAUGGGAAGAAUAAAUGACGGUACCAUUUAUAAGCUCUGGCUAACUACGUGCCAGCAGCCGCGGUAAUACGUAGGGAGCAAGCGUUGUUCGGAUUUACUGGGCGUAAAGGGCGCGUAGGCGGCGCGGUAAGUCACUUGUGAAAUCUCUGAGCUUAACUCAGAACGGCCAAGUGAUACUGCUGUGCUAGAGUGCGGAAGAGGCAACCGGAAUUCUUGGUGUAGCGGUGAAGUGCGUAGAUAUCAAGAGGAACACCUGAGGCGAAGGCGGGUUGCUGGGCCGACACUGACGCUGAUGCGCGAAAGCCAGGGGAGCAAACG